AUGAACGCUGGCGGCGUGCCUAAUACCUGCAAGUCGAGCGAGCGGACGAGAAGCUUGCUUCUCUGAUGUUAGCGGCGGACGGGUGAGUAACACGUGGAUAACCUACCUAUAAGACUGGGAUAACUUCGGGAAACCGGAGCUAAUACCGGAUAAUAUUUUGAACCGCAUGGUUCAAAAGUGAAAGACGGUCUUGCUGUCACUUAUAGAUGGAUCCGCGCUGCAUUAGCUAGUUGGUAAGGUAACGGCUUACCAAGGCAACGAUGCAUAGCCGACCUGAGAGGGUGAUCGGCCACACUGGAACUGAGACACGGUCCAGACUCCUACGGGAGGCAGCAGUAGGGAAUCUUCCGCAAUGGGCGAAAGCCUGACGCAGCAACGCCGCGUGAGUGAUGAAGGUCUUCGGAUCGUAAAACUCUGUUAUUAGGGAAGAACAUAUGUGUAAGUAACUGUGCACAUCUUGACGGUACCUAAUCAGAAAGCCACGGCUAACUACGUG
rnacentral:rRNA from 1 species